UUAACUAGACGAUGUGGGAUUGAAUUGUAGCACCUCAACAAAAAUGUUCACUUCACCCUUUUCCCGAAGCCUCUAGGAUUGUCAAAUUAUUGCCCGAAGGCCUCCUAUUAGAGUAACUGGAUUGCUGGACUCCCUGGCGUACUGAACUAGGUGCAAGUUUACAAUAUAAAUCUAAGCGCACACAAUAUAAAAAAUCUGUCAACAAAAUUUGCUGUUAUUUUGCCACUCCUUUGUUGCGGAUCCACAGAUCCAAAUUUUUUCAUUCGGGAUGUGAGAAUUUGUGAUGACAUUUUAUUUUUCUUGUAAAUCUCUCUGUUACCUUUUUUCUUGUUCUUUUCCUUUUCUUCUCUUCUCCUCGUACAUUUGUCUUUUUUGUUCAGUUACUAGUUAUUAUUUGUUGUUCGGAAGUAAGGGGACAGGACGAUGGGGUUUCUUUCUUGUGCUACCAAUCAAAAGACAUACAGAAGUCAUGGAAACAAUUGAAUUCAUUUGGUUACUUAUGUUGCAAUCAUGAUACUGGUACAGGUGGAUAUGUAGUGGUGAAUGAUAACUGCCAAAUUAUGUUGUUCCAGAGUUGACUGACUUCAAGGUACUCAUUUGCCAUCUCAAAUGAUAGGUUUUCUUUCUUUUCUUCUUCCUU
rnacentral:lncRNA from 1 species